AUGGCCAUUGAUAGUGUGUGUGACAUAUGUGGCACGGCUCCCGAAGAUGAAUUCCAUGCUGUCAUUGCGUGUACCAGGAGCAAAGCACUUAGACAUGAAAUGAGGAGGCAUUGGGAGCUGCCAAGGGAAGGUGACAUUUGGGAUACAGGACCAGAUUGGCUACAACACCUCCUUCUCGCAAACACUGAGGCAGUCAGAAGGAAUACACUCCUACUGCUAUGGCAGGCUUGGAACCUGAGAAACAACGUUGUCCAUGGAGACGGGAAG
rnacentral:rRNA from 1 species